UACUAGUAGAACCCGAAACAUUGUUUUGACAAGUACUGUCACAUUUCGGUUGCAGGUUUUCACUAAAUACCAAGUAAGUCACGGGUUUAAUCGUGUUAAAUGUAUGAUUUUUCGAUUCAAGUUUAUUUAGCUGUCAGAACUGAAAUUCUACUUUUAGAACUAGAAAAACUGCAUAACUUUUAUUAAAAAUAGUUUAAUUUGACAACUUUCAAAAUCUUCUUAACCAUUUUAAGGAAAAUAAAGCUCAUUUUUUAUAUUUCUGGAAUUUCAACUUCCGGUUUAAAAUGUAAAAAACUCCUUAUUUGUUGGUCUGUCAGGAAAAAGAUUGACAUUUUCGUGAUCCUGGUCAAAUUUGGGGUCGACUCCAUAUGUCAGCUCAAAAUACCCGAAAUCGAUGAUGAUCAAUCAAAUGAUCAAAUCCGACUUUUGGCCAAAAACACGCCAUUUCAACCCUAAAUUUUAUAAGGAUCACGAAAAUGCUACUCGUUUCGUUAUGGGAUUACUAUUUCCGGAGGUAUUGGCUACUUCCGGUUACUUUCAGAAAAUUUUCGCGACAAUUUGAAAAAAUUAAAAAAUUUGCCGUAUUGUUCUAACAUUUUCAAAUAUUUUUCUUGAAUUCGUUAGGGUGAUGCGCUAUUAUUCCGUGUUUUUUUUUUCGCUAUCAACAGUACAGUCUGAGCAACCACAGUUUUAGCUAUAAAUAUUUUAGCGCCUCGUCUUGCAACUAGUAGUUGAUAUUCUAGGUUUUUAAUAUUUAUAAUUGGAAUCAACUGUCUGAGGUUAGUAAAGUUCAAGUACUUAAAAGCAUGAAUUAUACUGAUUUAAAAAUAAAAUCUAUUUUCGUUGAGUUUCAGGACGAAAAACUAGAUGGCGGUGAAGUGCAUUUUGAUAAAGAUCACGAAUGACAAGUAAAAUGCGUGUUAGUAUCGUCAUGGUAUAAUAACUAUUAUACCAUGGUAUCGUAAUAUAAUAGUAUCGUAAUGUAUUUUUUAUUAAUUUCACGGGAUGCUGAUUUGUGUGUGUGUUUUUGUUUAGGUAAUCAAUCAAUGCUAGCUGUUCUACAUACACUUGGUGAAUAAUGAUUCACUGAGAAAUCCAGUCUCACCUCUUCACCAGUCCAUCGUGGCACUUUUCAUUUCUGUGCAAGUGCCCUUCUAACUUUUGAUAUAGCAAGGUGGAGAGAAAACUGGGAUUUUUGAGUUGUUUGCUAUUGUCCCUUUUCUCGGUUUUUUUUUUAUUAUUAAACUUUUAAUCUUCUGCAAAAGGCAUGGAUUAAUCCUUGGAAGAAUUCCUUGUCGCACUAAAGUUCACAAAAUACAAAUCAGUGUAUAAUUGACAUUGUGACAAAUGAUGGGUAUGUAGCAUGAAGUUGUUGAUAUGGUUUUCUAAAAUCUGGUUUAUUUAGAUACAACAGAAGGUUAAGACUCACUACAUUGAACUCACUCCCCAAUAAAAUAAAAAUAACUACCUGUCAAAAUGUUGCCAACAGUUAUUCUUGAAGUCUUGAUUUUCUAUUGAAGAAAAGGUUCCCCUGUUUUGACCACAGCCUCUUUGGAUCAAGGUGUUGCUUGGCUUGCAAGAAUAUGAAAUGUAAUUGAACCAUGGAAUUGUAUGUAAUUGAUACGAAAUGUAAAACAGAAUAUCGUGAAGAAUUCAUGCCGUAAGGUGGAAAAGUGCUAUGCGGUGGACUCCUUAGUCAAUUUUUUUUUAAAUAUUGAUGAUACUUCAUUUUUCUAUUGCUUCAGAUAAAAAGCAUCAAUUCCAUCAAAUGUUAUGGGAGUCAUGUUUGCUUCUAAGGCCGAAAACCGAAACGAAACCAAUUAAAACAGAUAUGGCUACCUGAUAUUAGUGAUAUGUCAUGUCUAUACGGUCAAAAAGAAGUCUGAGUGCUCUUUAAAGGAAUUUUGCUGCACCGAGCUAGGACUUUUCCGGAGUGUAAAUUGUGAUUCCCCAUGGGUUUUCUUAAGAAGCCAGUUCACGUUGACGCAGUAAGAGCUUCUAAUUCUAUCCAAUCCAAUGCCAGAGUUCGUACGUUGUGGUACUUUUAACCAUUAUAUGCAUAAAUUCAAGUGCCCCCUGAUUUAAGUUUUCUUAUUCAUUCGUGAUUUCGUAUGCCAACCAACCAUGAAAGAUGUCAUGUAACUAUAUUUUCACGUGUCAGAAAAUUUUACGCAGAUAGAGAUACUGCAUUUUCGAAGAAAGCUACUUUCACAUCACCGUUGGUCGCUGCUUCGCCGCGAAGAUAAAAUAUUAACAUUUUUACAAAUUAAA